rnacentral:tRNA from 1 species
AGAUAUAGCAGUCUAUAAACUUUGGUCUUCAAAACCAUCAUUUUAAUCUGUA